rnacentral:rRNA from 1 species
UACGUAGGGUGCAAGCGUUAAUCGGAAUUACUGGGCGUAAAGCGUGCGCAGGCGGUUGUGCAAGACAGAUGUGAAAUCCCCGGGCUCAACCUGGGAAUUGCAUUUGUGACUGCACGCUAGAGUGUGUCAGAGGGGGGUAGAAUUCCACGUGUGAGCAGUGAAAUGCGUAGAGAUGUGGAGGAAUACCGAUGGCGAAGGCGGCCAUCUGGGACAACACUGACGCUGGAGGCACGAAAGCGUGGGGAGCAAACAGG